AUACGUAGGGGGCGAGCGUUGUCCGGAAUGAUUGGGCGUAAAGGGCGCGUAGGCGGCGCGGUAAGUCUGGAGUGAAAGUCCUGCUUUCAAGGUGGGAAUUGCUUUGGAUACUGCCGCGCUUGAGUGCAGGAGAGGUUAUCGGAAUUCCCGGUGUAGCGGUGAAAUGCGUAGAGAUCGGGAGGAACACCAGUGGCGAAGGCGGGUAACUGGACUGCAACUGACGCUGAGGCGCGAAAGUGUGGGGAGCAAACAGGAUUAGAUACCCUGGUAGUCCACACUGUAAACGAUGAAUGCUAGGUGUAGGAGGUAUCGACCCCUUCUGUGCCGCAGUAAACACAGUAAGCAUUCCGCCUGGGGAGUACGGUCGCAAGGUUGAAACUCAAAUGAAUUGACGGGG
rnacentral:rRNA from 1 species